GGGCGCAUAGCUCAGUUGGUAGAGCAGCUGACUCUUAAUCAGCGGGUCGUAGGUUCGAUUCCUACUGCGCCCACCA
rnacentral:tRNA from 1 species